rnacentral:rRNA from 1 species
GUCUUUUUGAGUUUAAUUUAAAGUCUAACCUGCCCACUGAAAUUUUUAAAUGGCCGCAGUAUUUUGACUGUGCAAAGGUAGCAUAAUCAUUAGUUUCUUAAUUAGAAGCUUGUAUGAAUGGUUGAACGAGAGAUUUUCUGUCUCAAUUUAUUUAUUAAAAUUUUAUUUUUAAGUAAAAAAGCUUAAAUAAUUUUAAAAGACGAGAAGACCCUAUAGAGUUUUAUAUUUCUAUAAAUUUAAAAUUUAGAAUUUUAUUUAUUUAUAGGAAUAUUUUAUUGGGGUGAUAUAUAAAUUUAAUUAACUUUAUAUUUUUGUUAACAUAAAUUUAUGGGUUUUUGAUCCAUUUUUAAUGAUUAUAAGAAAAAAUUACCUUAGGGAUAACAGCGUUAUUUUUUUUUAGAGUUCAAAUCGAAAAGAAAGUUUGCGACCUCGAUGUUGGAUUAAAAUUAAUUUAAGGUGUAGAAGCUUUAAUAUUAGGUCUGUUCGACCUUUAAAAUUUUACAUGAUCUGAGUUUAAACCGGUGUGAGCCAGGUUGGUUUCUAUCUUUAAAUAUUUUAUAUAUUUUAGUACGAAAGGACCAAAUAUUUUUAAAAAUUAAUUUUUAUAGAAUA